UUUUGUCCGUGUUGCUGAGCAAGCACACUUUCAAUUCUGCCCCAGGUGUUUUCAGAUUUAUUUUGAACCUGCUGAUGUAAUAGAUGCAGUGCAGUGGAAUGCUUGGGAAGAUGUUGAAGGCUUCACUCUCAUAUCUACACUGUGUGAUGCCAACCUGCGCUGAGUGACUGAAUUUCCCAAAUUCAGAAACAUCAAGGAUGAAAAUCUUGGAUGCUUCUUGUCA